AAAACUAUAUAAUUUUGCAGAUAUUGGAUAAAUUUUGUAUAUUUGACAGAUAUUUACGAUCGCCGUUGAAUGUUCAUCAUUCGAUUUAUUAUGGCUGAAGAUAUUUAUUCAUCAAAAAGAAAAUAAGAACUAAUAAUAAGAAACAUUGACCGCCGUUAAGAAGUUUGUCCACGAACUUAUGAUUAGUACUCACCAUUACUGAUUUCUUGUCACUAUGAUGAAGAUUGCCACGAAUGGAAAAAGUUAUAAUGUUUUCUUGAACAUAAAAUGUUCAAGCAGAA